rnacentral:ribozyme from 13 species
AAAAAAAAAAAAAAAAAAAAAAAAAAAAAAAGAAUUUUUCAUUUUUUUUCCUCGCAGCCCUCAUUCUUCCUCGACCUUUUUUCUCU